rnacentral:rRNA from 1 species
UGGGGAAUCUUGCACAAUGGGCGAAAGCCUGAUGCAGCAACGCCGCGUGGGGGAUGACGGCUCUCGGGUUGUAAACCCCUUUCAGCAGGGACGAAUCUGACGGUACCUGCAGAAGAAGCCCCGGCCAACUACGUGCCAGCAGCCGCGGUAACACGUAGGGGGCGAGCGUUGUCCGGAUUUAUUGGGCGUAAAGAGCUCGUAGGCGGCUCAGUAAGUCGGGUGUGAAAACUCCGGGCUCAACCCGGAGACGCCACCCGAUACUGCUGUGGCUUGAGUCCGGUAGGGGAGCGUGGAAUUCCCGGUGUAGCGGUGAAAUGCGCAGAUAUCGGGAGGAACACCAGCGGCGAAGGCGGCGCUCUGGGCCGGAACUGACGCUGAGGAGCGAAAGCGUGGGUAGCAAACAGG